rnacentral:rRNA from 1 species
GAUGAACGCUGGCGGCGUGCCUAAUACAUGCAAGUCGAGCGAACAGACGAGGAGCUUGCUCCUCUGACGUUAGCGGCGGACGGGUGAGUAACACGUGGAUAACCUACCUAUAAGACUGGGAUAACUUCGGGAAACCGGAGCUAAUACCGGAUAAUAUAUUGAACCGCAUGGUUCAAUAGUGAAAGACGGUUUUGCUGGCACUUAUAGAUGGAUCCCGGCCGCAUUAGCUAGUUGGGAAGGUAACGGCUUACCAAGGCUACGAUGCGUAGCCGACCUGAGAGGGUGGUAGGCCACACGGGAGCGGGGCCGCGGUCCAUGGGACUAAGAGAGGCAGCAGUAGGGAAUCGGCCGCAGUGGGCGAGAGCUUGACGGAGCAACGCCGCGUGAGUGAUGGAGGUCUUCGGAGCGUGAAACUCUGUUAUGAGGGAAGAACAAAUGUGUAAGUAACUAUGCACGUCGUGACGGUACCUAAUCAGAAAGCCACGGCUAACUACGUG